rnacentral:misc_RNA from 1 species
GAUGAAGAACGUAGCGAAAUGCGAUAAGUAAUGUGAAUUGCAGAAUUCAGUGAAUCAUCGAAUCUUUGAACGCACCUUGCGCCCCUUGGUUAUUCCAAAGGGCAUGCCUGUUUGAGUAUCAUGAACACCUCAACUCUUGUGGUUUCCCACAAUGAGCUUGGACUGUGGAGGUUUUGUUGGCCCUGUGGUCAGCUCCUCUCAAAUGGAUCAGCUUACCGGUGUUUGGUGGCAUUACGGGUGUGAUAACUAUCUACGCUCGUGGUCGUCUCCAAAUAACCUCCAGUGAUGGAGGUUCGCUGGAGCUUAUAAAUGUCUCUCCCCAGUGAAGACAGCCUUUGAACGGUCGAUCUCAAAUCAGGUAGGACUACCCGCUGAACUUAAGCAUAUCAAUACGCGGAGGA